rnacentral:rRNA from 1 species
GAUGAACGCUGGCGGCGUGCCUAAUACAUGCAAGUCGAGCGAACGGACGAGAAGCUUGCUUUUCUGAUGUUAGCGGCGGACGGGUGAGUAACACGUGGAUAACCUACCUAUAAGACUGGGAUAACUUCGGGAAACCGGAGCUAAUACCGGAUAAUAUUUUGAACCGCAUGGUUCAAAAGUGAAAGACGGUCUUGCUGUCACUUAUAGAUGGAUCCGCGUUGCAUUAGCUAGUUGGUAAGGUAACGGCUUACCAAGGCAACGAUGCAUAGCUGACCUGAGAGGGUGAUCGGCCACACUGGAACUGAGACACGGUCCAGACUCCUACGGGAGGCAGCAGUAGGGAAUCUUCCGCAAUGGGCGAAAGCCUGACGGAGCAACGCCGCGUGAGUGAUGAAGGUCUUCGGAUCGUAAAACUCUGUUAUUAGGGAAGAACAGAUGUGUAAGUAACUGUGCACAUCUUGACGGUACCUAAUCAGAAAGCCACGGCUAACUACGUG